GGAGUAGGGAAUUGAUGGAGUAUUUAGUUAGAACUGAACGAGGGAGAUACGGUGUACGUGCUGGAGAAGUGCGACGACGGCUGGUACGUCGGCUCCAGCCAACGGACAGGACGCUUCGGGACCUUCCCAGGUAACUACGUGGAGCGCAUCUGAUAGCGCGAGUGGUCGCUGCUCCGGCGCCUGCGCCGCGCCGCGCUGUGUGCGCGCCGCCCGCGCCACCACACACACACAGACAAUAAACACGGACUACACUACUAAUGGAGUGCUAAUGUGCUAGCGAUCGCCCACGCGACUCGCCACUUUACCAACAGACGUGAACGCAUCAACCCCACCGAGCACUCCAUUCAUUCACUAAUCCGUGUCCUCAAACUUAGCCAGUGAAUUAUUGAGUGUUAAAAUCUUUGUCACCAAAAUAAUAUUAGUUCUUUAUAGCUACUCCAAAAUACCCUCAAUAUUAUAAUAGAUUUGUAUACCGCGCCCUCAAUUUCUACGUAUUUAUUACCCAAUGUAGUAUCAUAAGUACAUGAGUAGUGGUGGAGGUCAUGUAUGUGUAAAGCCGCUCUAUGUUAAAUAUUAUAACCGAAUAUGUACCUUAGAGUCUAUCGUCGAAUGAUACCAAAAUUACGCCAUGACUUUUUAUAAUAUUUUGUACAAAGGAUAUAAGCUAAGCUGAAACUAGAGUUGGCCUCGGCGGAACUCGAACUUGCUGACCAAAGCGUACAGUAGUGACGGCAUUAGUAACUCGACUCGAGCCUAACACACUAACAGUAGAAGUAUCAAUGUGUAUCGGUGUACUCUCGCUUCUGUCAUCCCUCGAAUGGAACAUGUAACCGCAUCGUCAAUGUAAUCUAUCCAAAGUUGUUUUAUGCGUCCCAAAGAGUAUGUUUAUCUGAUAAUUAUGAUGUUGUAUAAUUGUAAAAAAAUAAUAAAAAUACUUAUAUACUUGUAAAAUUGUUUAG